rnacentral:rRNA from 1 species
GAUGAACGCUGGCGGCGUGCCUAAUACAUGCAAGUCGAGCGAACGGACGAGAAGCUUGCUUCUCUGAUGUUAGCGGCGGACGGGUGAGUAACACGUGGAUAACCUACCUAUAAGACUGGGAUCACUUCGGGAAACCGGAGCUAAUACCGGAUAAUAUUUUGAACCGCAUGGUUCAAAAGUGAAAGACGGUCUUGCUGUCACUUAUAGAUGGAUCCGCGCUGCAUUAGCUAGUUGGUAAGGUAACGGCUUACCAAGGCAACGAUGCAUAGCCGACCUGAGAGGGUGAUCAGCCACACUGGAACUGAGACACGGUCCAGACUCCUACGGGAGGCAGCAGUAGGGAAUCUUCCGCAAUGGGCGAAAGCCUGACGGAGCAACGCCGCGUGAGUGAUGAAGGUCUUCGGAUCGUAAAACUCUGUUAGUAGGGAAGAACAUAUGUGUAAGUAACAGUGCACAUCUUGACGGUACCUAAUCAGAAAGCCACGGCUAACUACGUG